rnacentral:snRNA from 1 species
CAGCUUACCUUGCAGGGGAGAUACCAUGAUCACGAAGGUGGCUCUCUCAGGACGAGGCUCAUCCAUUGCACUGCGGAUGUGUUGACCUCUGAGAUUUCCCCAAAUGCGGGAAACUCCACUGCAUAAUUUGUGGUAGUGGGGAACUGUGUGCACGUUUUCCCU